rnacentral:rRNA from 1 species
AAAGCGUGCGCAGGCGGUUAUGUAAGACAGAUGUGAAAUCCCCGGGCUCAACCUGGGAACUGCAUUAGUGACUGCAUAGCUGGAGUACGGCAGAGGGGGAUGGAAUUCCGCGUGUAGCAGUGAAAUGCGUAGAUAUGCGGAGGAACACCGAUGGCGAAGGCAAUCCCCUGGGCCUGUACUGACGCUCAUGCACGAAAGCGUGGGGAGCAAACAGGAUUAGAUACCCGAGU